rnacentral:rRNA from 1 species
UACAGGGGGGGCAAGCGUUGUUCGGAAUUACUGGGCGUAAAGGCUCGUAGGCGGCCAACUAAGUCAUACGUGAAAUCCCUCGGCUUAACCGGGGAACUGCGUCUGAUACUGGAUGGCUUGAGUUCGGGAGAGGGAUGCGGAAUUCCAGGUGUAGCGGUGAAAUGCGUAGAUAUCAGGAGGAACACCGGUGGCGAAGGCGGGUCUCUGGGCCGAUACUGACGCUGAGGAGCGAAAGCGUGGGGAGCGAACAGG